CAUACUAUUCCAGUGUUUAUGCCUUUCUCACAUCUCUUGCAUAUGAAGAAGAUGUGUUUGAGGGGAAAGUUAGAGAAGCUACCUGAGUGGUAUGAAUUCUCACCUAACCUCACCAAGCUUACCUUGGAAUUGUCCAAGUUAAUGGAAGACCCGAUGGCAAAAUUAGAGAAACUACCCAACCUUUGGAUUCUCAGAUUGCUUCUCGAUUCAUAGAAGGGAAAGGAAAUGGUCUGCUCUGCACCAGGGUUUCCUCAACUUGAAUCCUUACAUGUUGAAGAGUUACAUGAAUUAGAAGAAUGGAUAAUAGAGGAAGGAGUGAUGCCAAGGCUUUUACAUUUGCUGGUUUGGGUAUGCUCCCAUUUAAAGAUGCUUCCAGAAGGACUGCAACAUGUGACUACCCUCAAGAAAUUGGAGGUGCGUGACAUGCCCGAUGAAUUUAGAGAUAGAAUGCAGGAAAACGGCGGAGAGGAUUGGUGUAAGAUUCAACACAUACCCUCCAUCAAAAUAUAAUAAGUUGCUAGUGUGGUCGGCUAUUAAAGGCAGGUGAGUUUAGUUGCUUGUUUCUUCCACCAAUGGAAAAACGCAUGGAAGGGCACAUUCAGCAUCUUUACAAAGGCUGCUUGCACAAGGGGCCCCCUGUUUCACGUGCAUGGCCCCUUUUUUGCACAAGUAGGGACCAUAAUAUUAACAUUUUCAAUCAUUGAAAUGGACGUUUCACUUGUAAUAACUAAAAUUCCAAAUGGGAAAAAGUUUUAUACUC